rnacentral:rRNA from 1 species
CACCGCCCGUCACACCACGAAAGCUGCGUGUACCAGAAGUCGCUGAGCUAACCCUUCGGGGAGGCAAGUGCCUAAGGUAUGCGGAGUGAUUGGGUG